rnacentral:rRNA from 1 species
UACAGAGGUGGCAAGCGUUGUUCGGAAUUACUGGGCGUAAAGCGCGUGUAGGCGGCUCUUCAAGUCAGGCGUGAAAGCCCCGGGCUCAACCGGGGAACUGCGUCUGAUACUGGGUGGCUUGAAUCCGGGAGAGGGAUGCGGAAUUCCAGGUGUAGCGGUGAAAUGCGUAGAUAUCUGGAGGAAUACCGGUGGCGAAGGCGGCAUCCUGGACCGGCAUUGACGCUGAGGAGCGAAAGCCAGGGGAGCAAACGGG